GAGCAGAGAUGGCAAAUGGUGAAUUUUGAUACCUACCACUAUUGGGCCUACAGCAGCUUCAGCGGUGGCAGAGGGUUUCUCAGCAGUGCUGGUGGCCAUGGUUCCCGCAGCCAGAAGGACCUGCUCACAGAGCCUCCCUACACAGCUUAUGUAGGAAAUCUACCUUUUAAUAUGGUUCAGGGCGACAUAGAUGCUAUCUUUAAAGAUCUCAGCAAAAAGAGUGUAGGGCUAGUCAGAGACAAAGAUAAAGACAAAUUCAAAAGUUUCUGCUAUGUAGAAUUUGACAAGGUGGAUUUCCUUAAGGAAGCCUUGACAUAUGAAGUUGCACUGUUGGGUGAUCGGUCAGUUCGUGUGGACAUUGCAGAAGGCAGAAAACAAGAUAAAGGUGGUUUUGGAUUCAGGAAAGGUGGACCAGAUGACAGAGGCUUCAGGGACAACUUCUUAGGAGGCAGGGGAGGGAGUCACCCAGGUAACCAGUGCACCAACAGCCCCCAAUGGGAAGUCGUUUCAGAGAUGGUCCUUCCCUUCGAGGAGGAUCCGAUAUGAAUUUCAGAGAACCAACAGAAGAGGAAAGAGCACGGAAACAAUGGCUCCAGCUUAAAUCUUGAACAGUUGUGACACCCCUCAAUUAAGUAGCUAAUCCCAACUCUGCUACCUUCAGAGAAAGCCCCGCCCAGAGAGGAAGUUUCCCACAAGGAGCAAGAAUGA